GAUGAACGCUGGCGGCGUGCUUAACACAUGCAAGUCGAACGGAAAGGCUCCUGCUUGCAGGGGUACUCGAGUGGCGAACGGGUGAGUAACACGUGGGUGAUCUGCCCUGCACUUCGGGAUAAGCCUGGGAAACUGGGUCUAAUACCGGAUAGGACGAUGGUUUGGAUGCCAUUGUGGAAAGUUUUUUCGGUGUGGGAUGAGCUCGCGGCCUAUCAGCUUGUUGGUGGGGUAAUGGCCUACCAAGGCGUCGACGGGUAGCCGGCCUGAGAGGGUGUACGGCCACAUUGGGACUGGGAUGCGGCCCAGACUCCUACGGGAGGCAGCAGUGGGGAAUAUUGCACAAUGGGCGCAAGCCUGAUGCAGCGACGCCGCGUGGGGGAUGACGGCCUUCGGGUUGUAAACUCCUUUCGCUAGGGACGAAGCGCAAGUGACGGUACCUGGAGAAGAAGCACCGGCUAACUACGUG
rnacentral:rRNA from 1 species